rnacentral:lncRNA from 1 species
UUAGUAAUGUCAGUCAUGUAAUCGUAUUUCAUUUUUACAUGUUCAGUACAUGAGUUCAGUCUAUCAGUAUCCUCAUCUUAGUCAGUCUCAUUCAAGGACGAAUGUUCCCAAUGGGGAGAUAUUAUAAUACCCUGAAAAAUGCAAAUCAAUAUUAGCGACAUAUUUCAAGAUUAUUCAUAGUACAUCAGGGUUCUUUGGUAUUUUCAUGAUCAAGUUUAAUGUGAAUUAAGGUCUCAAAUAUUUCCUAGCUAUUAGGCGAAUCAAAACAUUCCUUACCGAUUGAAUUCUUGAGAAGAAUAUUGGUAUAGUCAACUUCAAAUGAUCAUGUCUAUC